UACAGAGGGGGCAAGCGUUGUUCGGAAUUAUUGGGCGUAAAGGGCGCGUAGGCGGUGCGGUAAGUCCGUAGUGAAAUCUCUGGGCUCAACUCAGAGUCUGCUGCGGAAACUGCCGUGCUUGAGUGUGGGAGAGGUAUGUGGAAUUCCCGGUGUAGCGGUGAAAUGCGUAGAUAUCGGGGGGAACACCUGUGGCGAAAGCGGCAUACUGGACCACAACUGACGCUGAGGCGCGAAAGCUAGGGGAGCAAACAGG
rnacentral:rRNA from 1 species